UGCCCUUCACGUCUCUUUUUGCGGUCUGGGCUUGCUGUUCCGUAACUCAGUAGCCAGGAAGCCCUUACCCCAAAAAGUAUUUGUGGAGGGUG
rnacentral:pre_miRNA from 1 species